CAUGGCUUAACUACAGAGUUAAACUCUGGGUGUUAAAAGUGAGAUGUAGCUAUCGAAAGCUGUAUUUGAAUCUGGGCUUUGGAAGGAAAAUGGAGACUAAUAUUUAUAGAACACCUACGACAUGCCACAUCCUUUUAUGGGCCCUUAAUAAUAAUUCUGGAAGGUAAGUGUUGCCACCCCCUAAACAACAGAGAAACCAAGUAAUGGCCCAGUUUCAAAUAGCCAGUAAGGUCGGGGCUCUGCUGUUUUCUCUGUCUACACUUUCUCUGUCCAAAGAUAUGGCCCCUCUGUGGUAGGCCUGGAGGAACUGCAAGGCCCUGGUAUUCACUAUCAGCCCUGCCUGAAAAUCACAUUGUAGAGACUGCUCUUCACUCCUUGGGGAGCACAAUCUUAGUGGCUCAAGGUAGCGUUUUACUUGCAAGGGAAUGAUUCAGUCAGGUAGUGUUAACAGCAAUUAGUUUAUCUGAUUAAGCAAUUAGCAGUCUUUGUCACUUAGCAGAGAUCUGGGCCCACAGGAACCAAAGCAUAGCAGAUAAGAUACGAAGGGGAAAAAAGAUGGCAGCGAAACACCACAGGGAGCAGUAGAGAGGCUGGGAGAGAGAACCAGAUGCCUGCGAAGAGAAGAGGACAGAAGGGAGGUCCUGGAGACCCUCGACAUCACCUCGGCAACAUUCCCCAGAACAGAUGAGGAAAUUGAGGCUCAAAGUCAACAACAAUUUCCCAGCUAGUUGGUUCCAACUGGCCAGAGCGUGGAGAAUACUGACUGUGGCAGACAAUGAAGAGAGAAUACAGACACGGACCAACGGAUGAAGGAGGAGCAACUAGGUUGUAGGCAACCAGCAUUUUGUGGUUUUAGAAAGACUAACCUUUGAAGAAAUGUGUUGAUAGAGAAUGUAAGCUGAAAUUAAAGAUUUCCUGAAAAUGAAACAAGAAAAAGAUACUCCAACUUAGAUCUCCAAGAGAUAAUAGCAUCGUAGGACAUAUGCAAAGGGCAAAAUCUCAACAGACAGGACUCAACAGACAGACUCAAGAACAGAGCCUUUGUAAGACUGCUGCUAAAUUUAAUGUCCUUCUUCAUGGGCUCUUCAAAGGCGGGCAGAUUCUAAUCUUCUUGAUGGUGUCUUGCCGCCCUUAGCAUCCCUCCCCACAAUCCCAUACCCACCUCCAUCUCUGAGCCUCAGCUGUUAUCUCCCCAGAUCUGAAAUCCAGUGAAGUCAGAGCGACUGUAGGGAAUGCAUGGGUGCAUUGAAAAAGGCUGCUCUACUGCGAAGGGCUGAGAAUGCUGGUCCCAAGCUAGGAUGACACUCGUCCUUAUAUUCAGGGCCAGGAGGAGUCAUGAAUUUCCAGGAUGGCAAAUGGGUUACAGAAAGAGGCUGCCUUAGAAUACUCAGCUUCCCAGGUGAAAUUUACUGGAGGAGUCAAUUGAGGGUCCAUAUUCGACAGCAGAAAUCAUUUGAAAUGUUUUCCUAGAGUGGAUAUUUCCCAAUGCAAUAGGGAGGGUUCUUAACCAGAUGAAGAUAAGCAGGGAUCUGUGAUAAACUUCAAGUGGUCUGUAAAACCUCUGAAGUCGUAGUCGAAAUUGUGUCUGGGGUCCAUAGCUUUUAUCAGAAUCUCAGAGAAAUAUAUGGCACACAAAAAGUUAAGAGCCACUUAACAGGGACUUGCAGUGGCAACACCUCUGCCCAGCCCCCCAGCAGCCUCAGCCUCAUCAGUAUCACAUCAUUGCUGGGAAUAUCGUCUCUCCCAGCCCACUCCCCUGAAAAAUUUACCCUAUCGGGAAGA